GACGGACGCUGGCGGCGUGCUUAACACAUGCAAGUCGAACGGAAAGGCCCUGCUUUUGUGGGGUGCUCGAGUGGCGAACGGGUGAGUAACACGUGAGUAGCCUGCCCUUGACUUUGGGAUAACUUCAGGAAACUGGGGCUAAUACCGGAUAGGAGCUCCUGCUGCAUGGUGGGGGUUGGAAAGUUUCGGCGGUUGGGGAUGGACUCGCGGCUUAUCAGCUUGUUGGUGGGGUAGUGGCUUACCAAGGCUUUGACGGGUAGCCGGCCUGAGAGGGUGACCGGCCACAUUGGGACUGAGAUACGGCCCAGACUCCUACGGGAGGCAGCAGUGGGGAAUAUUGCACAAUGGGCGGAAGCCUGAUGCAGCAACGCCGCGUGCGGGAUGACGGCCUUCGGGUUGUAAACCGCUUUCGCCUGUGACGAAGCGUGAGUGACGGUAAUGGGUAAAGAAGCACCGGCUAACUACGUG
rnacentral:rRNA from 1 species